UGUAACUGCUUUGCAGGGGAAUAAACCCCGCUAUGUAUAGCGGGCUGAAUGUACUCUGAGAAUAAGGAUCGGCUAACUCCGUGCCAGCAGCCGCGGUAAUACGGAGGAUCCGAGCGUUAUCCGGAUUUAUUGGGUUUAAAGGGUGCGUAGGCGGCCUGUUAAGUCAGGGGUGAAAGACGGUAGCUUAACUAUCGCAGUGCCCUUGAUACUGAUGGGCUUGAAUGUAGUUGAGGUAGGCGGAAUGUGACAAGUAGCGGUGAAAUGCAUAGAUAUGUCACAGAACACCGAUUGCGAAGGCAGCUUACUAAAGUAUGAUUGACGCUGAGGCACGAAAGCGUGGGGAUCAAACAGGAUUAGAUACCCUGGUAGUCCACGCCCUAAACGAUGAAUACUCGAUGUUGGCGAUAUAUAGUCAGCGUCAAAGCGAAAGCGUUAAGUAUUCCACCUGGGGAGUACGCCCGCAAGGGUGAAACUCAAAGGAAUUGACGGGGGCCCGCACAAGCGGAGGAGCAUGUGGUUUAAUUCGAUGAUACGCGAGGAACCUUACCCGGGCUUGAAAGUUAGUGAAUGGAGCAGAGACGCUCCAGUUCUUCGGAACACGAAACUAGGUGCUGCAUGGCUGUCGUCAGCUCGUGCCGUGAGGUGUUGGGUUAAGUCCCGCAACGAGCGCAACCCCUAUGUUUAGUUGCCAGCACGUAAAGGUGGGGACUCUAAACAGACUGCCUAUGCAAAUAGAGAGGAAGGAGGGGACGACGUCAAGUCAUCAUGGCUCUUACGUCCGGGGCUACACACGUGCUACAAUGGGCAGUACAGAGGGCAGCUACCUGGCAACAGGAUGCCAAUCUCAAAAAGCUGUUCACAGUUCGGAUCGGGGUCUGCAACUCGACCCCAUGAAGUCGGAGUCGCUAGUAAUCGCAGAUCAGCAACGCUGCGGUGAAUACGUUCCCGGGCCUUGUACACACCGCCCGUCACGUCACGAAAGUCGGCAACACCCGAAGCCGGUGGCCUAACCCUUGGGAGGGAGCCGUCGAAGGU
rnacentral:rRNA from 1 species